UGACAGGCACAGCAAAAAGCUAUUGUUGACAUCUGGUUCUGUGACAUAACUUUCCUUUUUUCCUGAACAUAUUGAGAGAUUUGUCAAGUUAUGUAUUCGCUGGUAGUUAUUUAAAUUUUACAAAAUAACAAUUUCGGUAACUAAACUUAAGGAUUAUAUAUCCAUAUGUAAUAAGAGGAUUUAUAACAUGACAGUUAGUUGCCAAUUGUAUCUAGCAGACGACACUUGCUGCUUCUACCAGAUGAAGCCAGUGGCGGAAGAAGGGACCCGAUGCCUGGAAUAACUUUGCAGUAUAAAAUUUUGCAUUGUUCGAUUGGUCAAGAUAGAGAUGUUUUAGUGGAAUACAGAUCGUCUGUAUUUGCCCUGUCCUGCUGAUGGUAGAGAGCUCUUCCACACCUCUUGCACAGAUCAGAAUCCGCGAGGUAAGAGACGAAUUUAUUCAGGUUUAAAACGACAGGAAGACAGUGUUUUACAUUGUUGAAAGACAAAGAAAAAGAAUCGAUUCCAGAACGUGCCGUCCUGUGUUUGUUGUUUUCGGCAGUUGAGGGGUGAGUUUGGUGCAUGCCAGAUACUAUCUAUUGAUUUCAAACACUCUAGUGAGAAAUAUAUGCAGAAGAAAGAACCAAGUAUGAUAAAUCCACGACAGACCUGGCACAAGCAUAUAGCAUGACACCACUACAGCCGCCAUGACAAAAGCAUAGUUAAACAAAUUAGACAUAAGCUAACAUAUAUAUAAUUGUACCCACCGACAACAAAAUUGUAAGGGGGGGGGUAUACUGGUUUCAGGUUGUCUGUCUGUCUGUCCGUCUGUCCGUCUGGUCGUCUGUCCGUCUGUCCGUAGACGCAAUCUUGUGCGCACCAUCUCUCCUUAUCCCCUUGACAGAAAUUAAUGAAACUUCACACAAGUGAUCAGUACCAACAGUAGUUGUGCAUUGGGCAUGUUAGGUUCUUUUAGAAAAAAAAUUUGCAGAGUUAUGGGACUUUGUUUUUUUGUUACUAUACUAUAUACAUAGACACAAUCUUGUGCGCACCAUCUCUCCCCAUUCCCUGGACACAAUUUAAUGAAACUUCACACAAGUGAUCAGUUCCAACAGUAGUUGUGCAUGGGGCAUGUUAGGUUCUUUUAGAAAAAUUUUUUGCAGAGUUAUGGGACUUUGUUUUUUGUUACUAUACUAUAUACAUAGACACAAUCUUGUGCGCAGCAUCUCUCCUCAUCCCCUUGACACAAAUUAAUGGAACUUCACACAAGUGAUCAGUAACAACAGUAGUUGUGCAUGGGGCAUGUUAGGUUCUUUCAGAAAUUUUUUUUCCAGAGUUAUGGGACUUUGUUUUUUUUGUUACUAUACUAUAGACAUAGACACAAUCUUGUUGGCACCAUCUCUCCUCAUCCCCUUGACACAAUUUAAUGAAACUUCACACAACUGAUCAGUAACAACAGUAGUUGUGCAUGGGGCAUGUUAGGUUCUUUCAGCGACAAAAAUUGCAGAGUUAUGGGACUUUGUUUCUUGUUAACAUACUAUGUACAUACAGUCUGCAUAUGCAAUCUUGUGCAUGCCUAAUCUACCAAACCCUUGCACACAAUUUAAUGAAACUUCACACAAGUGAUCAGUACCAACCCUAGCUGUGCAUAGGGCAUGUUACAUUCUUUUAGAUAAAUAUUCUGCAUAGUUAUGGGACUUUGUUUUUUGUUACUAUACUGUAUACAUACAGUCUAUAUACAUACAGUCCACAUACUUAUGCAGUCUUGUGUGUGUCAAAUUGCAAUGUACUGUGUCAGUGCAUGCAUGGGGUACAUUCAUCACCUUUAGUGAUAGCUCUAGUUAUGCCCCAACGUACAAAGUAUAUUGGGCUAUGUUGGAGUCACGCAUGUCCAGUCCAUCCGUCCGUCCGUUCAUUUGUCCACCAUGGCCGCUGGGAUGAUUUUCAUAAAACUAACAUAAAUUAUAAACCAUAUCAAGACGAUGUACAGAGCGCUCAAUCUAGGUCACAAGGCCCAAGGUCAAGAUUACUCGUGGAGGUCAAAGGUCAAAUAGCUUAGCUUCAUGUCCGCUCUAUAUUGUCUAAACGGCUUUGAAAAUAUUAAGCUCGACUGUUUGAAGAAUAAGGAGGAUUACUGUACUUUCCUUGGCGUCUGUGUCACUGUUACCUUUGCAUUGAAAGUUAAAAUUUUAGGACAAGCUUCUCAGUGUCACUAUAUCUUCUUACUACUGCCCUUAUUAACAUCAAACUUCACAUAAGUGUUGGUCUUGGUAAGGGAAAGACAUCUACAUGUAUUAGUUUAGGAACAAGUAUCCUAAAUGUCGAAGUCACUGGCUUAAAUAUUGUGAUAGUGCUGGUUAAAGUUCCAUGAUAAGCUUCUCAAUUUCACAAUAUAACCUCACAUAAGGAUUGAUCUUGGAACGUGGCAGAAAUCUUUUUGUUUAGGGUCAGGUUGCUCAAAGGUCAAGGUUACUGGGUUCAGAUUUUGUAACAGUGUUGGUUCAAGUCUUGUGGCACAUUUCUCAAUUUGACUUAUAUCUCAUAACGUUUCUUAGAACUGGUAUCCCUCAUGUCCUAUCCUUUUAGCUAUACCCACACUUCAUCUACGUUCCUCCCGACACCCACCCAAAAAUGCGUUCCGUACAAAAACUUAUAAUUUCAUGUUUCCAUCAACUCCCCUACUCCGCUGUCUUCACCUACCUCCUCCGCCCCAUUUCACCGAACCUUUGCCCUCGUCCCCUCCAUAAAAAGGAUAAUAAAUUCCUUUUCGAUCUCCCACACUUACUUAUAAUAAUAACAAUAUUUUGUUAAACAUUUUCGUUAUAGUCGAGCAGACACAGUUAACUCAUAUCACUAGGCCCACGGUCAAUGUCACACCUAAAAAUCAAAAGUCAUGAUGACAACAUUUUACUUUCCCUUUAUCAAAGUGAGGUCUGGGGGUAUUAAUCGACUUCAGUGAUAGCCUUAGUUGAUCAGGUGUUAGUGGCAUAAAUGUGUAACAUUUGCUUUAUUAGGGGCGGGGGAUAGGAAUGGUUUUCGUCCGUCCGUCUGUCCGUCCGUCUGCCCGUCCGCAACACUUUCGUGUCCAGGCCAUAUCUCCUAAACCCCUUGAAGGAUUUUCAUGAAUUUUGGAUCCAAUUAUCAACUCAUCAAGAUGAUGUGCAGAAUUCAUAAAUCAGUCAUGUCAGUUCAAGUUACCCUUUCACUAUCCAUAACAGUGGCGGGGGUUUUAGCUGUCUUUCAGCCUUCCAUUUUGUGUCCGCUUUGUAUCUCCUAAACCCCUUGAAAGAUUUUCAUGAAACUUGGGUCAACUUAUCAACUCAUCAAGAUGAUGUGCAGAAUUCAUAAAUCAGUCAUGUCAGUUCAAGUUACCCUUUCACUAUCCAUAACAGUGGCAGGGGUUUUAGCUGUCUUUCAGACUGCCAUGUAAUAAUUGAUUUUAGGACGGGAGAUAUUUGUUUGUUUCAGUGUAAGAUCGAUCAAAUCAUUCUAAAUACAUCUCACGAAAAUGUAAACUAGUGUUCAAGCGUGAAAAGUUAUCAAUUUUACUAUAAAUCAAAGAAAUUUUAUAUUAUGCAAUUAAAUAUAUGUGUACUAUUAAUCAUAGAAAUUUUAUAUUAUGUAGUUAAAUGUAUGCGUGCUAUAAAUCAAAGAAAUAUAUGCAGUUAAAUGUAUGUGUACUAUAAAUCAAAGAAAUUUUAUAUUAUGCAGUUAAAUGUACGUAUGUAUGCGUGCUAUAAAUCAAAGAAAUUUAUGCAGUCAAAUGUAUGUGUACUAUAAAUCAAAGAAAUUUUAUAUUAUGCAAUUAAAUAUAUGUGUACUAUAAAUCAAAGAAAUUUUAUAUUGUGCAAUUAAAUACAUGUGUACUAAAUUGUACACAUUUUACAAGUAUAACAUCUCACCCAACGCGCAACGUUACGCUUAAAAUUAUGGCAAUAUAUAUGUUGGAAAAAGUUAUAUAGUUCUACUAGAUUGAUUUCUUUUACAUUUUAAUAUAAUUACUUUUUAAUGUUUUUUUUUUCUAUAAAAACAAUCAGAUUAUAUAUAAUUCAUAUUCUUUUGCGUUAAAUUGGUGUUGCGUGCAGGUGAACACUGUAUUUGGAUUUCUUACUUCUGAAACAGCGGGUUUAUCAAGGUAUGAUCUAUCGUUUUAUUUCAACAAUAUUUGAAAACUUGGAAAGAAAUUCAAUAAAACUAUAAAAUGUAGCGAUAAAAUCAUAGCUCUUUUGUUUAUUCAAACACACUUUCUACUGCACUUUGUCUGGUUGGUAUCAACGUAGCUUUUAAAAGUAAGUUUAGCCUCAUUUCUUGUUCACUGACUUUUACACUGUUUGGUAUAACUCUUAAUCGACACCAAACUUUAUGCACUAACAUUAACUCUUGCGGCUAAAAUUACUUUUAAAGCAAUUCUGUCUAUUAUCAGGGACAAAGUGUUAAACUGGUAAAUCUUUAGGAACGAUGGGUAGAAAGAUUAGCUGAUCAAAUAUUUAGUAGAAUUGUUGGCAAAGUUUUUGGUUUUAGUCAUCGCUUUAAAUAAUUACUGGGAUAUAACGUUAGAUUAUAACAUGAUAAACUCGUUGUUUCAAACGGAGAGAAAUCCAAAUAUGAUUUUUCACUAGUACGGAACAA